UACAGAGGGGGCAAGCGUUGUUCGGAAUUACUGGGCGUAAAGGGCGCGUAGGCGGCCUUCUAAGUCGAACGUGAAAUCCCCGGGCUUAACCGGGGAACUGCGUCUGAUACUGGAUGGCUUGAGUUUGGGAGAGGGAUGCGGAAUUCCAGGUGUAGCGGUGAAAUGCGUAGAUAUCUGGAGGAACACCGGUGGCGAAGGCGGCAUCCUGGACCAACACUGACGCUGAGUGAGCGAAAGCCAGGGGAGCAAACGGG
rnacentral:rRNA from 1 species